CAUCCUGAAAGUCAGCAAGGAGAGAACAUUGUCGGCGGGGACGGCCUUCAACGGGCAACGACAGGAAGUGACGCGUACGACCCCAGGAAGAGUCGCGCUGGCAUCGCCAGAGCUAACGGGGAUCCGAAAUACAACAACAAACCAAGCAAGCAACCGCCGCAGUUCCGCCUUGCAGUGACGCAGCUCUUCCUCCAGGGCGGCGCGCUCGUGCCGGCUCUCGUCAUGGAGACGCUGCAGCGAGCCCAGCGAACGCUUCACCCGCUCGCACUGAAGCAAACGGACCGACACGCAAAGGCGCGUGCGUCAAUUAGGAGCGGCUCCGCUCCGCUCGCCCGGCGUUGCCAUGACGGACGCUACCUCGCUCUGCGCCCGGAGCCCGGCGUCCUGGGCUCGCCGCACCUGCACCUCAAGUUCUUGGACGUCUGGAAGACUGACAGGGGGGCGGCGCACACUGUCGUAGGUGUCGUCCUGCGUCCUGGCGCAAAAAAGAAAAGAGCUUUGGUGGCGAUUGCCAGUUGCCGAGCGCUGCGUGCUUUUCCAGCGGGGUGCUCACACCCAGGCCGGCUGCUCUUGCUCCUGCUCUUGCUCUUGCUCCUGCUCUUGCUCUUGCUCUUCUUGUUUCACUUUGCAGCUCAGCUCUCGGUUGGCGUUACUCAGCACAAGACGCUGGCGGCUCAGAGAUGCAAACUCCUCCUCCAGGCACGCGGCGUCUCCACCUUCAGGUGACAAUCAUUCUUGCCAUCAACACCAAUAAUCUAGCUCCUGAUGGGCCAGUGCUGUCGGUUACCGGAGCAAUCCUCGCCGUCGCUCUCCGUCCCGAGGGCGGCGACCUCCGCCUCGUGCCGGCCUGCCGCGUGGCGCUGCAGCUGGGCCCGGAUGCGACACAGCUCCUCUUGGAGGCAAGCGAUGUCGUUCUCCCGCUCGGCCGCCGCCUCCUCGCCGGCUUCCUGCAGCGCCAGUGCCGCCUCCUCAGCCCGGCACAGCUCAUCCUGGGCCUCCUCCAGCUCGCUCUGCUUCUCCUGCCGCGCUAUCGCGACCUCCCGCCGGACGCCCGCCAGCUCCACUGCGAGCGGUCAGGACCAAGGUUACGGCAAUCCAAACCAACAAAAGUGCUUUUUUUUUUUUUAUCCGGUACCUUUGAGAGCUUCCAUUUGUCUGCUGAACGUUUCCGCCUGGUGGGCCCGAGCCAGUCGCUCAUCCUCCAACAUGGCUGACAAAAACAUCGACAAGAACAUUAGGAAGACAUCUGAAUACCAACCGGCCACAUUGAAGCCUCUCACUGCGCAUUUCCAGAAAGUUCUCCUGGUGUCUUUGCGAGUCUUGCCGCGUCUCCCCCAGCUCCACGAGCAGCUCCACCAUCCGAAUGCGGAGCUCGUCCACGCCCAUCUCUUCAUCGUCCUCCUCGCCAAACUCAUCUUCCGUCUUCUCACACAUGUCGUCCUUCAGCUGGCCUGGGAAACGUUGAGAGGAAAGACAUUUGGAAAUGAAAGGACGGACUGCUCUCCUAAACAUGAGUGAAAUGAUAUCUCACACACGCACACACACAAGGGAUUUGUUUUUUGUGUGCAAUUUGUUCCCACUGACCGCAAGAGUCCAGGACCUCCUCGAUGAGGGGGGGUAGCCGCAGUCCGUCCAUGUUUGAAGGCUCCUCAAGCCACGGACAGGUUGCUUAUCCUGAAGACUUCAUCCGCAUCAUGGGCCUAGCCAUCAUCAAGUACAGGUUUAUUUGCAGUGACCAAUGCUGACGGCCAUUCCAUGAUUUGACAUUGGCCUGCCUGCCUGCCUUUCAGGCAUUCUGACGCAUAGUCAACAAGGAUAGGACAACUACUAGAAAAAAUGUACUCGUGUGCUCAAGUUCACAUCAGCAGUGACGUCAGCGAGUUGUUCUCCGACGUGCCCUGUUGAUGUGCUGGUUGCCAUGGAGAUGUGAACGCCCUUUAACAUGCUCGUCAUCUAUUAGCCUAUGAUGUGAAUAUGAUGUUAGCAUGACGUGACGAUGAAUGAUUUUACCUGCUGACUCGGUGCUGCAGCUCCUCUUCAUCAUCGUCAUCAUCGUCAUCAUCGAGGUGACGCCGACGAGACGUCACACCAUCGACCUCCCUGACGUCAUCAUUAACUCUUUGCAGACGACUCAACCAGAGUAAUAUGAUCAAAGCUAAAGAUUGAACUACUUUUGUACUCACAUGA